UACGGAGGGUGCAAGCGUUGUUCGGAAUCAUUGGGCGUAAAGAGCGCGCAGGCGGCUUGGCAAGUCGGGUGUGAAAUCCCGGGGCUCAACCCCGGGACUGCAUUCGAUACUGUCAGGCUAGAGGUAGGUAGGGGAGAUCGGAAUUCCUGGUGUAGCGGUGAAAUGCGCAGAUAUCAGGAGGAACACCGGUGGCGAAGGCGGAUCUCUGGGCCUUACCUGACGCUCAGGCGCGAAAGCUAGGGGAGCGAACAGG
rnacentral:rRNA from 1 species